UGGGGAAUAUUGGACAAUGGGCGAAAGCCUGAUCCAGCCAUGCCGCGUGUGUGAAGAAGGUCUUCAGAUUGUAAAGCACUUUAAGUUGGGAGGAAGGGCAGUAAGCGAAUACCUUGCUGUUUUGACGUUACCGACAGAAUAAGCACCGGCUAACUCUGUGCCAGCAGCCGCGGUAAUACAGAGGGUGCAAGCGUUAAUCGGAAUUACUGGGCGUAAAGCGCGCGUAGGUGGUUCGUUAAGUUGAAUGUGAAAGCCCCGGGCUCAACCUGGGAACUGCAUCCAAAACUGGCGAGCUAGAGUAGGGCAGAGGGUGGUGGAAUUUCCUGUGUAGCGGUGAAAUGCGUAGAUAUAGGAAGGAACACCAGUGGCGAAGGCGACCACCUGGGCUCAUACUGACACUGAGGUGCGAAAGCGUGGGGAGCAAACAGG
rnacentral:rRNA from 1 species